rnacentral:rRNA from 1 species
AAUGGGGGAAACCCUGAUCCAGCCAUGCCGCGUGUGUGAAGAAGGCCCUAGGGUUGUAAGGCACUUUUAGUAGUGAGGAAGGCUCAGUAGUUAAUACCUGCUGAGAUUGACGUUAGCUACAGAAAAAGCACCGGCUAAUUUCGUGCCAGCAGCCGCGGUAAUACGAAAGGUGCAAGCGUUAAUCGGAAUUACUGGGCGUAAAGCGCGCGUAGGCGGCUUGGUAAGUUGGAUGUGAAAGCCCCGGGCUCAACCUGGGAACUGCAUCCAAAACUGCCUAGCUAGAGUAUGGUAGAGGAUGGCGGAAUUUCCUGUGUAGCGGUGAAAUGCGUAGAUAUAGGAAGGAACAUCAGUGGCGAAGGCGGCCAUCUGGACCAAUACUGACGCUGAGGUGCGAAAGCGUGGGGAGCAAACAGGAUU